rnacentral:rRNA from 1 species
AAGUAAAAGUCGUAACAAGGUUUCCGUAGGUGAACCUGCGGAAGGAUCAUUAUCGUACAACGGAGACGCAACGGCUGUUGCUGACCUUCAAAAGGUCGUGCACGCCCGAGUGCUCUCACACACAUCCAUCUCACCCCUAUGUGCAUCAACGCGUGGGUUUCCUUUGAAAAAGGGGGGCCCGCGUUUUUUUCCCCACACAAACCUCAAAGUAAUAUAGAAUGUACUUUUCUUUUUGCGGUGACACGCAAAUCAAUACAACUUUCAACAACGGAUCUCUUGGCUCUCGCAUCGAUGAAGAACGCAGCGAAAUGCGAUACGUAAUGUGAAUUGCAGAAUUCAGUGAAUCAUCGAAUCUUUGAACGCACCUUGCGCCCCUUGGCAUUCCGAGGGGCACACCCGUUUGAGUGUCGUGGAAUCUUCAAAACCUUUUUUCUUUCUUUCUUUGAUUGAGAAAAGGAUUUUGGACUUGGAGGAUCGAUGCUUGCUUUUCUUUUUGAAAGGCGAGCUCCUCUCAAAGGAAUUAGUGGGGGUUUGCUUUGCUGAUCCUUGACGUGAUAAGGUGUUCCUACGUUUUGGAGCCAGCACUGUGCCCGCUUCCAACUGUCCAUAUGGACAAAAGAUGGUGUUCUGGUCACCGCUGCCUGUGUCGGUGGAAGGCUGGACCCACAAAAAAAACCUUGACCUCAAAUCGGGUGAGACUACCCGCUGAACUUAAGCAUAUCAAUAAGCGGAGGAAG